CUGCCAUUACGGUAAGUAUGAAAUAAUUUUCCAGAAUUUGCAGAUAUCCCCAAUUGUGACAUUGGUGGCUGUAAGGAGGGGCAGGAAAAGGGGAGUUCUACUUAUCUGACCCUGUCCCUCGUGGGUGUGGCCAUCUACCUCCGUAAGGCCCUCUUCAGCUCCUGAAACAUAUACAAGAGUACAGCAGAGAGGUCUAUUGAGGAUCAUGAGGGAUCCUUCAUAGACAGAGCCAAAUCCA